rnacentral:rRNA from 1 species
AUACGUAGGGGGCGAGCGUUGUCCGGAAUGAUUGGGCGUAAAGGGCGCGUAGGCGGCGCGGUAAGUCUGGAGUGAAAGUCCUGCUUUCAAGGUGGGAAUUGCUUUGGAUACUGCCGCGCUUGAGUGCAGGAGAGGUUAUCGGAAUUCCCGGUGUAGCGGUGAAAUGCGUAGAGAUCGGGAGGAACACCAGUGGCGAAGGCGGGUAACUGGACUGCAACUGACGCUGAGGCGCGAAAGUGUGGGGAGCAAACAGGAUUAGAUACCCUGGUAGUCCACACUGUAAACGAUGAAUGCUAGGUGUAAGAGGUAUCGACCCCUUUUGUGCCGGAGUCAACACAAUAAGCAUUCCGCCUGGGGAGUACGGCCGCAAGGUUGAAACUCAAAUGAAUUGACGGGA